UGGGGAAUUUUGGACAAUGGGCGAAAGCCUGAUCCAGCAAUGCCGCGUGUGUGAAGAAGGCCUUCGGGUUGUAAAGCACUUUUGUCCGGAAAGAAAUGGCUCUGGUUAAUACCUGGGGUCGAUGACGGUACCGGAAGAAUAAGGACCGGCUAACUACGUGCCAGAAGCCGCGGUAAUACGUAGGGUCCAAGCGUUAAUCGGAAUUACUGGGCGUAAAGCGUGCGCAGGCGGUUGUGCAAGACCGAUGUGAAAUCCCCGAGCUUAACUUGGGAAUUGCAUUGGUGACUGCACGGCUAGAGUGUGUCAGAGGGGGGUAGAAUUCCACGUGUAGCAGUGAAAUGCGUAGAGAUGUGGAGGAAUACCGAUGGCGAAGGCAGCCCCCUGGGAUAACACUGACGCUCAUGCACGAAAGCGUGGGGAGCAAACAGG
rnacentral:rRNA from 1 species